UCGCUAUGAGGAAAACGUAAAUGCUCCAGAAACAGGAUCUAAUCCUGUCGCUGAUGGUAGCAAACCUCUAAGAAGUUCUGAGCGA